UCGCCGGGGCCGGUGGAUUCGGACCACCAUAUCAAGUCGCUGGGACCGGUGGAUUCGGGCAACCAUAUCAAGUCGGUGGUGGGUUCGGAGCACCAUAUCAAGUUGGUGGUGGUGGGUUAGGCGCACCAUAUCAAGAUGGUGGUGGUGGUAGUGGAGGGUUUAUGCAUAUGAAUUACAUGAGGAAACAAACGACGCCCUCGGUGACCUAUCAUCAACGACCCAUAAGUCCGGAGACUGUUCGUAUGGGUGAAGCGUCUUCUUCCUAUUAUCCUUAUCCUUAUCCCAAUAGUAGUAACCCUAAUUCUUACAACUAUCCGAAUUAUCCCAAUUACGCUGGUGAGUUUUUUUCCUCGUCCAUUCAAAGGCCGUAUGGUGAUUCAUCUCCACCGGCGCCAUCUGGAGCUGGGCCUUCGUCAGCGCCUUCAACUUCAAAACCGCCUCCUCCGCCACCCUCUCCACCGAGGAGCUCACCUUGGGAUUUUCUGAACCCUUUUGAGACUUUUGAGAGUAAUAAUUACCCUACACCAUAUACG
rnacentral:misc_RNA from 1 species